UGGAAAAUUAGAUUUGGGGGAUUAAAUAGGCCAAAAAUGUGUGAAAUUUAUGAUUAGAGUUUUUUAUUCACUUACAAAUGUUCCAAUUUCAAUUUGAUUGUAAUUUAAAUUGAGAUUUCGGUGUUGGUUUUGGGAAUAAAAUAACCCAAAAACGUGUAUUGGAAAUGAGAUUUGGGUGAUUAAAAUCCAGUGAGUUUUUUUUAUAUUGUUAAGCUCCCAUGGUCCCAAAUCUACCAAAAAUGAUUUUAUUUUUUUAUUUGUCUUUUUUUUAUUUAUUUUUCCUGAUUAAGCUCAAAGAAGAUUAAUCUUAAAUCUACAGAGAGCAUUUAUAUUUGAUUUUUUUUUGUUUUUUUUUCUUUUUCCUGAUUAUGCUCAAACGAGAAAACCCCCAAAUGCACCGCAAUAAUAUGUAUUAGCUUCUUAGAAUAUGUUUUUUUUCCUUAACAUUUAUAUUUGAUUUUCAUUUUUUUUUCGUUCUUGGUUAUGCUCAAAUGAGAAAACCCCCAAAUGCACAACAAGAGUAUUUAUUUGUUUCUUUAGGUUCUGAUUUUUUUUUCCUGGUUUAAUUUUUUUCUUGCUGGUUGCAUGCUUUUUUCUUCUUUUUUUUUGUUUUUUGCUAUGUAUCAUGAAUGUUUUUUGGGUGGUUUUUUGGGGUGUUAACCCUGGUUCAUUGCUACUUUUUUUUUUCUUAUUGGUUAUAUGUAAGAGAAGUGAGAAAUGAAGGCAUUUAUUUUCUUCAUUGUGGGUCUCUUAACUCUUUUGCACCCAUCAUUUUCUAACUUCUUAUAGAAGCAUAAUGUCUCCCUCAUGUCAAACUAGUAGAGUAGUUCAUACUACUUACCCAAACUAGUGGCGCAGUUAAUAGAUUUUUUUUUUUUUCAUAUAUGAAUUUGUUUGUAUCAACUGUAGUUCUACUGUGAUUCUGCCAAUUGUUCGAGUUUGGUUCUGAGUCCAAGGCACAAACCUUGUACUUAUUGAUCAUAUUCUAUGCCACUCGAAGUCCAAUUGUGCUAACUAGUCAGUAGAACCAUUUGAUAGCGUGAGGACAAUGUUCCUUCGCAUUUAGGAAAAUGUAUCAUGUUGGUUAUAUCCUUUUUGGAAGGAAAUUACUGCUAAUAGGAUUAAUAUCUUGGAACAUGUAAGACAGUUUCUUGUAAAUAAUGUGUUGAUCUGUAUGCCAUUUGGAUGUUAUUCUAUUACGAAAGAUGACUGUGAAUAAUGUGUUGAUCUAUAAUGGAUUUUUUGCAUUGGUUAUUAUAUUUCUCUAUCUUCUUAUGGCAUCUUUUGAUUUUUUGAAUUGAUUUUUUUUUUAAGUGGUUGAAGUGAUGCUUGCAAAAUUGUGAUGUCUUCUUGGGAUUGUUUAUGUAAGUAUUGUGUGUGUGAGUCUUGUAUAUCAAAAGUAAUGAAAGUUAACAUUCUUCAAAAAAGAAGCCUUUUGAUGACUGAAUUUUGGAUGUUAAGCUGCUGGUGUUUUCAUAAAACUCACAUGCUGAAUUUAGAUAAACAUUCAACAAAAUGGCCAUGUUUCAGCCAUCUAUCCUUAGUACACCUUGUCUAUUAGUGCAUCGACGAUCCUUACUAAUAUUAAUAUUUGGAUGUCUACAAAAUGAGCCAUAACAAUGUGUCUUUCUGUAAUAUGAGAGAUGUCUGUUAAAUAAUGUGCUGAUUUGUAAUGGAUUUUUUGUAUUGGUUAUUAUAUUUUUCUAUCUUCUUAAUCGCAUCUUUUGAUAUUUUUUUUUUAACUGGUUGAAAUGAUUAAUGGUCAGUGACAAAGUAUUUUGUAGAAUGGUUUACCAUAGAAUUUGGGAUAUUCAAUCUACAUGUUCCUCUUAAUUUAUAAUAUAUGAUGCAGUAAAUUAAUAUUUGAUAUUAACAAAUGAAGCAGAUCUUACCUCAUGCCCAACUUCUCAUUCUUUUUAUCUCUACAAAUUUCCAUGUUUGGUUGGUUGCAUGCUCUAUGUGUUUCAUUGAGGCAUUCUUUUUAUAUAUUGUGAUGAUUUUGAGUUAAGGUGAAAUUGGUGCACAUAAGUGUGCAUGUCAUUUACAUUAGUAUGCAUGUUACCAACACAUCAUAACAUGCAUUUUAGAGCCAUUUGUUGUGGUGCACAAAAUUCUUUUCUUUCUCCUGAAAGCCUUCAAGAUGUUGCAUGUAUUUCUUCAUCUGGAUUUCCAUGCAUAAAGGUUAUUUUCAUAUCUAAUUGUUCUAAAUGGUCAGGUAAAGCAUUAGUUGUAAUAACAAACCAAAUAUAUAUUGUGAUGUGUAUGUCAUUUACUUUCGUAUGCAUAUUACCAACACAUCAUGACAUGUAUUUCAAAGCCUAUGGCACAUGAAGUUGACUUGUUGUACAUGAAAGAUGAUCAUGUUUGGAGAUUAGCUGUUUCUGGGUUGGAGAGGAAUAAAAUUUAUAUUGAUGAGGCUUUUAGCAUCAUCCAACAUUGGCCCCUUACAAAUGAACAAGUGGAUUUUGUUAGAAGCACGGGCUAUGGCCUCUUGUUCAGUACGCUAACAUGGAGGGGGCCCCGCGACAGAUUGAUCACGAUCUUACGGAGGCAGUGACAGAGAGAUGGCGGCCAGAGACGAAUUCACUGCACUGUCCACGAAGAGUUGGUGAGAUGAUGCCAACCUUAUAUGAUGUGUGGUGUAUUUUCCGGCUUAGAGUCACAGGUGAGCUGGUAUUGACAAUGAUAUGCAAACCAUAGGGGCAAUACUUGUUACAAUGGUUAGGAUGUGUCCCAAGAAGCGAUUUUAAAAUUCACCAUUCAUUGAACUUCACUUGGUUGAGAGAGACUUUUGGGAAUCUACCAGAAAAUCCUACACUACAACAAAUAUAACAACACACUAGGCCAUUUUUGCUAUAUGUAGUAGGCAGCACCGGUUUUCUACAGUCAAAUAAAGGUAAUGAAGUCUCUAUUACGUAUUUGACCUUGUUAGAGGAUUUUGAUGUUGCGGGCAGGUACGCAUGGGGGGUUCGACCCUAGCGUAGCUUUUUAGGGGCCUCAAGAAGUUUGUUACUGUUAAAAUUAAGAAGGGGAGGCAAAAUGUAUUGAAUGAUGUUCAGGCGGCACCCGGUUCUCACCUCACUAGGUGUGCGACAUUAUUUCAAGUAAAAUUAUUUUGUUGUGCUACUUAUUCUUUAUUUGUAUGUCUUAAAGGGUUAUGUUUUGUGAAUUUCAUACAUUUUUUUCAGCUAUAUUUAUACAUUUCAUACAUGCUAACGUAAUUAUUGUAUGUAUGUUGGUUAGUCAUUGGUAUUCGAACAUUUCAAAACAUUGCAGCCUGAGGGAGGCAGUCGACGGGUUGAAGCUGGUAUACCAAGCGCGGAAAGAUGGGUACACCCAGGCACAUGGGAUAACCUAGUUGGGAAUGUAGUAUAGAAAUUAGAUCUCUUUGAACCUGAUAGGGUAUUAGAACCCAUAAGUAGAUCAGAAAGACUGGUGCUGAGGAGGUCCAUCAAAGGGUUCUAGAUCGAGAGGCAUUGGAGACCGCUCUUUGCAAGACAUAUUUGAUAUUCGACAACAUCGCGGAGCGGUACCUCCCAGACCAGGUACUGAGACAAUUUGAACUGAGACAGGCCAUCCCAGCAAAUCAUAUAGAUGGAAAAGAUUUGACAGGUGGGGUAAAAAUGAAAAAAACUGGGAGCAAAAACUCGCCUCUCAAAUCAAAGAUUGGCACGACCGCCUUCAGUAUCGUCAAAUAGGCGAGCAAGACCUGAGUCGUGGUCUACCUUCGAAUGAGUAUGAAGCAUGGUAUGUGCAUGUUUCAAUCCCCAUAAUUCAUAACCCACAGAACCUCGGACGGAUGCAUAUGCACCUCUAGGCUAUGGUGACCACAUGUUGUCCAAAGCAGACCAUUUGACUGGAAUUGUUGACAAUGGGCUGACGGCUCAAGACCCCAAGACAAAAGAUCGAUAUUUUAGGGAGCUAAGGUGAGAGCAGUUAUUGUGUAAAGGCGAGUUGGUUGAGGAAGAACAAGAAUCCAGUGAUGACUCUAAGCAAGAGCCUGUGUUAACUGCUGACCCACAGCUGCAAAUGCACCGUGGAAGAGCUCCAAGAGGAAGAUCCGCACAGACUUAGGAGCCCAGGACUGCUGAGAGAGCGGAUCCCAAUUCAACAGCCUUUGGGAAGAGGCCAAAAGUACUUGCCCCCAGACGAGGAAGAGGACAUUGAUUUUAUAUUGUAUAAUUUCGAUGUAAUACUUUUGAUAAAAAUGUAAGUUAGAAAACCCUUUUGGGUUAAAUUUUAUAUGUAAAUUUGAUAAGGCGUUUGUCAA